rnacentral:tRNA from 1 species
GCGGGGUGAAAGAAAAGUAAAAACAAUCACUUAUGCUGAAGUCUGUAUCUUGCCAAGGUUGGGGUCGUGAGUUCGAAUCUCAUCGCCCGCUCCA